rnacentral:misc_RNA from 1 species
UUUCCGUAGGUGAACCUGCGGAAGGAUCAUUAAAAAAUGUGGUACCGAUUAUUGGUACUAAUUAAUCAUCCUACCCUUUGUGAAUUUGUUUGUAUGAAUUUUUUUAAAUGGGUCUUUCCCUAAGUUGGAUUGUUAGUAAAAUACAAAAAGACUUAGGGGAAUGACUUUUUUAAAAGACUUUUUUUUAAUUAAAACUUUUUGUAUUCAUUUGUCUAAAAUUUAUUUUUAUAAUAUAAAAACAACUUUUGACAAUGGAUCUCUUGGUUCUCGCAACGAUGAAGAACGCAGCAAAAUGCGAUAAGUAGUGUGAAUUGCAGAAUACGUGAAUCAUCGAAUCUUCGAACGCAUAUUGCACUUUUUUAGUUUACUAAAAAAGUAUGUCUGUUUGAGUAUCAGUAAAAUAUUCUCACAAACAUAUAUUGUUUGUGGUUAUGAGUGUUUUACAACGAUAAACAAGUUGUUUCACUUUAAAUUCUUUUUGUAAGUUUUACCACCAAUUUACAAAUUUAAAAUUGGAUAAAAUUUUCCUUUAACGAGGAAUAACCUAAACAAUUUUAAAUUUUUUGGUUCGUAAAUCCCAUGAAGGAAUCUAUACAUAAAUAACUUGAUCUCAAAUCAGAUAAGAGUACCCGCUGAACUUAAGCAUAUCAAUAAGCGGAGGAAAAGAAACUAACAAGGAUUCCCUUAGUAACGGCGAGUGAAGCGGGAAGAGCUCAAAUUUGAAAUCUUCAAGGUUUGACCUUGACGAAUUGUAGUUUAUAGAAGUGUUUUCUGUUGGAGUUUUGGUAAAAGUUCUUUGGAAUAGGACAUCAUAGAGGGUGAGAAUCCCGUAUUUGACCAUGACUUUCCAGCUGUGUGAUACACUUUCAAAGAGUCGGAUUGUUUGGGAAUGCAGUCCAAAAUGGGUGGUAAAUUUCAUCUAAAGCUAAAUAUUGGCGAGAGACCGAUAGCGAACAAGUACCGUGAGGGAAAGAUGAAAAGAACUUUGAAAAGAGAGUUAAACAGUACGUGAAAUUGUCAAAAGGGAAGCGUUUGACACCAGUGUUGUUUUCUCGAAAAUCAAUUUAAUGAGUUCUUGUUUUUAAGUUAUUGUGACUUUAUCAGCGCAUUUCUUAUUUUACUUGACUCAUUGAAUGCACUUUUCGUUUAACAAGUCAACAUCAAUUUCUUUGGUGGUAAAAAGUUUAAAGGAAGGUGGCUUGGACUUCGGUUCAAGUGUUUAUAGCCUUUUUUCUAUGCCAUCGGAGAGAUUGAGGUCUGCAGCGUAGAUCCUUCGGGGUUAGAUACUUUGUGCUAAGUUAUAGUUUUUUAUAGACAACUUGUUGACUAUAAUUAACCCUGUAAUUUACUCGCUUAGGCUAUUU